ACCAGUCAACAGCUUGUAAACCGGAGUCAGCUCGGCCGAGGCGAAGACACCGGAGCGCUCCCCUCCCGUGGGUCAUCCGAGACCUCAAUGGACUCCGUUGUCACCGUCGCCGACGAGCGGGCUCCGCUCCUCCCCUCCUCCGCCGCCGCCGACGAUGACGAGAUCCGCCCCUGGCGGUCCGACCACCAUUCGCCGCUGGCGGAGGAGGCGGCCGACGGCGCUCCACCGAAGCCCCUCAAAAUCGCCGAACCGAGCCAACGCCUGGCGUCCCUCGACGUGUUCCGCGGCCUCACCGUCGCGCUGAUGAUUCUCGUGGAUGAUGCUGGAGGGGCGUUCCCGUCGAUAAAUCACGCGCCUUGGUUUGGGGUUACCCUCGCGGACUUCGUGAUGCCCUUCUUCCUCUUCAUCGUUGGAGUAUCGGUGGCGCUGGUCUUUAAGAAAACUUCAAACAAGGUGACAACUACAAAAAAGGCUAUCAUGAGGACAUUGAAGCUCUUUCUUUUGGGGUUGCUGCUGCAAGGUGGAUACUUUCAUGGUCGUGAUCAUUUGACUUAUGGGGUUGACAUAGAUCAUAUACGAUGGCUAGGAAUACUACAGAGGAUAUCCAUUGGAUAUUUUUUAGCAGCAAUGUCAGAGAUCUGGCUCAUCCGCAAUAUGUUGGUGGAUUCUCUAGUGUCGUAUGCGAAGAAAUACUAUUUGGAAUGGAUUGCUGCCGUCAUACUUACUUCGGUCUAUGUUGGUUUACUUUUCGGUCUCUAUGUGCCCAACUGGGAGUUUGCAGCUCCAAGCAGUAAUUCCACUUUACUAAGUCCAACUUAUGGAGUUGAAAUUGAAAGUGUGCAAUGUGGAGUGAGGGGUAGUCUUGGUCCUCCUUGCAAUGCUGUGGGCUCGAUAGAUCGACUUCUUCUUGGUGAAAAACACCUAUAUCAGAAUCCAGUCUAUAAAAGGACAAAGGAGUGCAGUGCUAAUUCUCCUGAUUAUGGGCCCCUUCCACCAAAUUCACCUGGAUGGUGCCUUGCUCCAUUCGACCCUGAGGGUUUAUUAAGUUCACUGAUGGCUGCUGUAACAUGUUUUGCUGGAUUACAUUUUGGGCACAUAAUCGUGCAUUCUAAGGGUCAUGCUCAGAGAAUCUUGUUCUGGUCCAUGACUUCUUUGGUCCUUCUACUCUGUGGAUUUAUUGUGGAGUUAGUAGGUAUGCCUUUUAGCAAGCCAUUAUACACAUUGAGCUACAUGUUUCUUACGACAGGACUGUCUGGCUUUCUACUAACUCUGAUAUACUACAUAAUUGAUGUCAAGCAGUUUAGAAGGCCAUUUAUGUUACUUCAGUGGAUGGGCAUGAAUGCCCUAAUUGUUUAUGUUUUGGCUGCUUCUGAGCUGUUUCCGGCAGCUGUACAAGGAUUCUAUUGGCGAUCACCUGAAAACAACCUGGUGGAUUUGACCGAAUCAUUGCUUCAAACCAUAUGUCAUUCCAAAAGGUGGGGCACUCUGGCCUUUGUGCUUCUGGAGAUUCUAUUCUGGUGUCUCGUUGCUGGCUUCUUACGUAUGAAAGGCAUUUAUAUAAAAAUGUAGCUCACGAGGAUCGUGUAUAUAUUGCCCAAGCACAUCUGUGAUUAACAUUCAGCCCCAACUGUUCCUCUACUGAAACAUUGCUGAACUGAAUACUUCUCUGUUCUCCUUGUUUUAUACUCUCUCCACCGUUGGCUUCUAUUAUUGGAAAACCCAACCCUAAUGACCGACUCCACAUCAUCAGGCUAAAGAGACACCAGGUGUUCCUUCCCUCCUGCCACAUAAGCUGACCAUUGAAACAUUUCUUCUUUUUUUUUCUGAAUCGAGGCCUUGCAUGCCAACAAGAAUCAUCAGACAGCAACAGGUACAUGGGAUGCUGAAGGAGCUCUGAUGAUUCAUGAUCUCUUGUUAGCACUGGAUUGUGGAUAGAUAUUCUUCGCCAAUAAUGUAAGCUACGCAGUUAUGAUGAGCAAG